AGGGCGCGCGCCGCGACAGGUUCCCCUUCACCGGGGAUCAAAAGGGAACGGGUGAACCCCGGCUGCCCCUGCAACUGUAAGCGGCGAGCCAGCGCGCCUCAUGCCAUUGAUCCGGUCGCCGGAUCGAGAAGGCGGCGCGGUCCGGCGACGACCCGCUAGCCAGGAGACCUGCCUGCCGCAUGUCGUCCUC
rnacentral:ncRNA from 2 species